GUCCUUGUCGAUUAGUGGUUAAAUCAUCACGUUGUGGACCAACAUAACCGUGAAGCCGGAGGUUCGAAUCCUCCCUGGGACA
rnacentral:tRNA from 1 species